rnacentral:rRNA from 1 species
AUCGANAAUUCACGAUAANUUUAACUUCAAUUCCAAAAUUCAUAUACCUCCAUCUCAAGAAUCAAUUAAAAAAUAUUUCUCAAAAAAACAAAUAAAAAGUUAGGUCAAGGUGUGAUCUAUAUUCAAGUACUAAAUGAAUUACACUAAACACAAUUUAAAAACUAUAAACCAAAUAUUUAUAUAAAUUAGGAUUUAAAAGUAAUAUUUCAAUNAUAUUACAACAUGAUAUAGAUAAUAAAUGUGUACACAUCGCCC